rnacentral:lncRNA from 1 species
UAGGUUGUUUUUUUUUUUUUUUUUGUGUGUGUGUGUGUGAAGAUAUAUAUACUAGGUAUUAGAAAAAACGAAGAACUAAAAUUUAGAAAUAGUGUUCUGCGCUUGGUGUAAGUCCAGAGGUGUCAGUCCAGUAGUCAUUUGCUUGAAGGCAAAGUUGAAACCAAGCUCUUUCAGGAAAAUAUAGGGAUCAAUGAAGACUGAGAACUAAGAGCAAGCCCUCAGGCUCAAUUUGUGUAUAGAAAGCAGAGAAACCAAUGAGAAUAAAAGGGAGUAAAAGGAGAGAUAUGGGCAUUAUUAUCACUUAAGCUAAGGGGAAAAAAAGUGGUUAAAAACUGAAGAAAGUUUCUAAAGGGUCAAAGAAAUUUAGCACUGAAAGAAAUGUAUGUUGAUGGUGAAGAAUUUUUUUUUAAUCAUUGGAAUUUCAGUAGUUUUCAGAUGCAAGUAUGAAAUUGUAAUGAGUAACUGAUUGCCAAUUAUAAAAUAUUUUCUCUAAAAAUUUUGGGCAAAGGAAAUAUAAAGCCUUAAUUGCAGGAAAUAGAAUAAAUAGAAGAUGUUUUUAAAAAUGAGGUGAUACUAAGUUCAACUUAUAUUUAAUCUGCAGAAAAUAUUUUAAGAAGAUAAAAAGUGAAAAUUUUAUAAUGAGGGGAAAAAUGAAGAAAACCACUACUAAAAACGUAUGAAUGCAAAACAACACAUACACAACAAACCUUAAAGUGCUGUCAGAAUUUUUUUUGAGUUAUAGAGAUUUAAAAAACUAUUUUAGUAACAUUUUGUUACUUUAUGAAUCAGUUUGUUGAUUCUGCUGUAAGCAAUGUUCUUUUGGUUAUUCUUUGAUAAUUGAAAAAUUUAUAGCACUAUUCAUAAAUUUUGAGAAGAAAAAAUGUAAAUCUAUUAGGAUAGAUAUUUAUUCAGCAAUAUUUUAAAUAUAAUAUUUCAUUGUACUUAUUAAUGAACACAGAAUAUUAUGAAAACUGAAAAUAAUCAUCCUAUAAGUGUUCACAUAAUGAUUUCUCUAAGAAUUACCACUCUUAUUUUUAGUAAAUCAUGGAUGUAGAAAUUCAAGAAGAAUGUUUAUUUUGAAAGAAACCAAUUGAAUAAUGUAAUUAUUGCUUAUACCUUAUAAAACAUUAAAAACUAUUGAGAAGGGUCUUGUUUAUCCCUAAUUGUGAGGUAAAAUGAUUUCUUGUCCUUUUUUUGUGGGUAUAGUUGGAUAAUACUUUUGUUUUAAAGAUAAGAAUAUAGAUGAUUAUAUGAAAUAAAAGUAAUUUUAGAAAUUUGAAGUGCUUAUUUAUCUAAAAACUUACGAUAGAGAAAUAUAUAUUUAUAUAUUAAUCUAUAUAAUAUUUUUAAAAUAUGGAGUGAUCUGGGAAAUAGCCAAUUUUAUCAGUUGGGAUCACAUUUUGUCUGC